rnacentral:rRNA from 1 species
UACGGAGGAUCCAAGCGUUAUCCGGAAUCAUUGGGUUUAAAGGGUCCGUAGGCGGUUAUAUAAGUCAGUGGUGAAAUCCCGUCGCUCAACGAUGGAACUGCCAUUGAUACUGUAUGACUUGAAUUAUUAAGAAGUAACUAGAAUAUGUAGUGUAGCGGUGAAAUGCUUAGAGAUUACAUGGAAUACCAAUUGCGAAGGCA